rnacentral:rRNA from 1 species
UACGUAGGGUGCUAGCGUUGUCCGGAUUUAUUGGGCGUAAAGAGCUCGUAGGCGGUCUGUCGCGUCGGCUGUGAAAACCCGGGGCUCAACCCCGGGCCUGCAGUCGAUACGGGCUGGCUGGAGUGUGGUAGGGGAGAUCGGAAUUCCUGGUGUAGCGGUGAAAUGCGCAGAUAUCAGGAGGAACACCGGUGGCGAAGGCGGAUCUCUGGGCCAUUACUGACGCUGAGGAGCGAAAGCGUGGGGAGCGAACAGG